GUCCGCCCAAAACAGACUGACUUCCUAACCCUCUAAACUUGUCAAUGGGACCUGACUCGGAAAUGGGCUCUUUGCAGAUACGAUGGGGUUACCCUAGCGUAGGGAGGGCACACAGUCCAGUGACUAGUGUCCCUGGGAGGGGACAACACAGAGACACAGGGCGAGAGGGCCACAAGAUGACCGGGGCAGAGGCUGCAGUGAGGUCUCGACAAACCAGGGAAAGCCGGCAUCACCGGCAGACUCUGGAAGCUGAGAAGGACGCAGAGGAUUCUUCCUCGAGUCUUCCGGGGGAGCGCGGUCCAGCUGGGCCCUCGGUUCUGGACUUCUGGCUUCUAGGUCUGUAAGAGAACACGUGUCUGUGGUUCUAAGCAGCCUGGCUGGUGGCCGUGAUCUUCCCGUGAUCACGUAUGUGAUGACCUUGUUCCCGAGUAAGGUCCCAGUCCUGGGCAUCUGGCUUUUGCAUUCUAGGACCCACGAAAGAUAAAGUGGGAGAUAAGGACUCGGUCUUCACCCCACUGUGAUCUCCUCCAACUGUUGGCCACAUCGGGUGAUGGGGGGCUGUUUGCCCUGCACCUCGCCACGCUUUCCCUCUGCUGGCCCAGCUUCAGCUCUGGCUUGAACUUGUCCUGAGCUCUGUUCUCCUCAAAGCCUCCCACCUUUUCUCCGUAUCAGGGUGGCUUACCGCACUCUUCUCCCUGUCCCCAGGAGGGAGAGGACAUGACUUGAGCUUCUGUUUAUUUCUUGUGAGCAGCAGAACUGGCUGGCGUCUCCGUGGUUAUGGGUCCCCGCUCUGGGUGGACAGGACAGCUGGUCUCAGCAUCACUCUUCGGACACACUCCCCAGUGCCAGUUACACAAGCUACCCACGCCCGCGGGCGACCCAGGGAUCGACGAAACUCAGAGUCUUUGUGAAGGAAAAAUAGCCAAAGUCACAAUUCCUUCUUUCUUCCUUGGGAGAAGUCAGUCUGUUUUUUUAAGGCUUUCACCUGAUUGAACGAGGCCCACCCCUAUUACAGAGGGCAUUCUGCUCUGCUCCAAGUCCACUGAUUACAUGUUAAUGGCAUCUCAGCUGUGCCUUUACAGAAACAUCUACAGCAACGUUUGACCAGAAGCAGGGUGCCAUGCAAAAUUUAUAUGCGAUACAUCAUGUGGAAAAUCAACUAUCACAUGUAGCUAAUCUAGUUUUUAAUUCACUUU